AAAAUUGAAAUAAAACAUAAGGACGAUUAUUUUUGUUCUUUAAUUAAGAGACGUCCUUCUGUCGUCCUUCUCUCUUUUUCUUUCUUUCUUCUCUUUCUUUCUUCUCCUUGAUCAGAGGAUUUCCCAAGCUUCAGAUCAACAAUCAUGAACACCGCUGGAAACAAAAACAUCAACUGAAUUCCGAUUUGGGAAAUUCUUCUUCUUCCGAUCUCAGAGUUUUGUAGAUUGCAUGUUUCAUCAGUAUAAAGCAUAUAGAAAGGCACUGAAGAGUGCUGAGAAACAGACCCCUAAACUGAAAGCCAGAGGCUUUGAAAGAAAGGUGUUGUGGUUUGUAACGAAGCUUGCGUUCUUUUUUCAUACCAGAGACUGGCAGUGGCAAAACAACUCAGAUUCCUCAGUACUAGCUCUUAGAAACGGUAUGAACUCAGAAAUUGAUCAUGUCACUGGUUUGGUUCGACGUAUACGAGAAGUAGCAACCCAUCUGCUCUUUGUGAAACCGUUGUUGCUUGUCUUAUUGCUUGACAUGUAUAACGUAUGACCUAUCAGCCUUUAUCAUGUGAAGCUUGUGACAAGAAGGACCUGUUGAUUGAGGCUACUACUCAGAUCAGAACGUUGCUUUGUUGUGGCUGCAACGUGAUCUCGAAAAUAUGAAACUCAAAGUGGAAAGUUGAAGGCUAUAUAUAUAGAAAGAGAUCUGAAUAAAUAUUCUCUGCAGCAGUAUUACUCACAAGUACCGCACGACUCGCGGACUCCGUUGCUGAUAAACAAUUUACAAGAGGCAGCAAGACUAAAGAUUUUGGUUUCAUCUGCUAGAAUUCGUCUAUGAGUCUCUAUAAAAACAUCCUUAAGUACCUGCUGUUUAAAAGAGGGUUUUGCUGGAGAUAUUGAUACUCCUCCCAGAGCCUUUUUAGCUCGUGAUCCCUUUACGCGUAAAGAAUUGCCCUGAACAUCUGAAGUAGAGACAUUUUCUUUGUUUGCAUUUGGAUACAUCGUACAAAAAGUCAGAGGUUUAGCCAAGCCUGUAGAUCAAACAAACACUUUAUAGUCACUGUAUAUCCCAUAUACUCUCUUUGCCUCCAUCAAAUGCAGCAUGCAUGUAUGGAAGAAACGAGUAUAUAAUUGAAAACAAGACUAUUGAUUUGUA